GAUGAACGCUGGCGGCGUGCCUAAUACAUGCAAGUCGAGCGAACAGACGAGGAGCUUGCUCCUCUGACGUUAGCGGCGGACGGGUGAGUAACACGUGGAUAACCUACCUAUAAGACUGGGAUAACUUCGGGAAACCGGAGCUAAUACCGGAUAACAUGUUGAACCGCAUGGUUCAACAGUGAAAGACGGUCUUCCUGUCACUUAUAGAUGGAUCCGCGCCGCAUUAGCUAGUUGGUAAGGUAACGGCUUACCAAGGCAACGAUGCGUAGCCGACCUGAGAGGGUGAUCGGCCACACUGGAACUGAGACACGGUCCAGACUCCUACGGGAGGCAGCAGUAGGGAAUCUUCCGCAAUGGGCGAAAGCCUGACGGAGCAACGCCGCGUGAGUGAAGAAGGUCUUCGGAUCGUAAAACUCUGUUAUUAGGGAAGAACAAAUGUGUGAGUAACUAUGCACGUCUUGACGGUACCUAAUCAGAAAGCCACGGCUAACUACGUG
rnacentral:rRNA from 1 species